rnacentral:rRNA from 1 species
UACAGAGGUGGCAAGCGUUGUUCGGAAUUACUGGGCGUAAAGGGCGCGUAGGCGGCCUUCCAAGUCAGACGUGAAAUCCCCCGGCUUAACCUGGGAACUGCGUCUGAUACUGGGAGGCUUGAGUAUGGGAGAGGGAUGUAGAAUUCCAGGUGUAGCGGUGAAAUGCGUAGAUAUCUGGAGGAACACCGGUGGCGAAGGCGGCAUCCUGGACCGGCAUUGACGCUGAGGCGCGAAAGCUAGGGGAGCAAACGGG